rnacentral:rRNA from 1 species
UACGUAGGGCGCAAGCGUUAUCCGGAAUUAUUGGGCGUAAAGAGCUCGUAGGCGGUUUGUCGCGUCUGCCGUGAAAGUCCGGGGCUCAACUCCGGAUCUGCGGUGGGUACGGGCAGACUAGAGUGAUGUAGGGGAGACUGGAAUUCCAGGUGUAGCGGUGAAAUGCGUAGAUAUCUGGAGGAACACCGGUGGCGAAGGCGGCAUUCUGGACUGUAACUGACACUGAGGAACGAAAGCCAGGGGAGCAAACGGG